UAAGCGGAGGAAAAGAAACAACAGGGAUUGCCCUAGUAACGGCGAGUGAAGCGGCAACAGCUCAAAUUUGAAAUCUGGCUUCGGCCCGAGUUGUAAUUUGUAAAGGAAGCUUUAGGCGCGGCACCUUCUGAGUCCCCUGGAACGGGGCGCCAUAGAGGGUGAGAGCCCCGUAUAGUUGGAUGCCUAGCCUGUGUAAAGCUCCUUCGACGAGUCGAGUAGUUUGGGAAUGCUGCUCAAAAUGGGAGGUAAAUUUCUUCUAAAGCUAAAUACCGGCCAGAGACCGAUAGCGCACAAGUAGAGUGAUCGAAAGAUGAAAAGCACUUUGAAAAGAGGGUUAAAUAGCACGUGAAAUUGUUGAAAGGGAAGCGCUUGUGACCAGACUUGCGUCGGGCUGAUCAUCCGGUGUUCUCACCGGUGCACUCUGCCCGGCUCAGGCCAGCAUCGGUUCUCGCGGGGGGAUAAAGGUUCCGGGAAUGUAGCUCCUCCGGGAGUGUUAUAGCCCGGGGCGUAAUGCCCUCGCGGGGACCGAGGUUCGCGCUCUGCAAGGAUGCUGGCGUAAUGGUCAUCAGCGACCCGUCUUGAAACACGGACCAAGGAGUCAAGGUUUUGCGCGAGUGUUUGGGUGUAAAACCCGCACGCGUAAUGAAAGUGAACGUAGGUGAGAGCUUCGGCGCAUCAUCGACCGAUCCUGAUGUUUUCGGAUGGAUUUGAGUAAGAGCGUUAAGCCUUGGACCCGAAAGAUGGUGAACUAUGCUUGGAUAGGGUGAAGCCAGAGGAAACUCUGGUGGAGGCUCGCAGCGGUUCUGACGUGCAAAUCGAUCGUCAAAUCUGAGCAUGGGGGCGAAAGACUAAUCGAACCAUCUAGUAGCUGGUUACCGCCGAAGUUUCCCUCAGGAUAGCAGUGUUGUCUUCAGUUUUAUGAGGUAAAGCGAAUGAUUAGGGACUCGGGGGCGCUUUUUAGCCUUCAUCCAUUCUCAAACUUUAAAUAUGUAAGAAGCCCUUGUUACUUAGUUGAACGUGGGCAUUCGAAUGUUACCAACACUAGUGGGCCAUUUUUGGUAAGCCAAAAACUGGCGAAUGCGGGA
rnacentral:rRNA from 2 species